CGGCUGCAGCAAAUUAAUGUGAGUAGAUCUGUAGCGACAUCAAUGCCAAGGCGAGGUGCUUGAGCGUCACUGCACUACGCACAAUAGCGUGCGCAGCAAACAGCUCUCGAAGUCUACGUAGUGCACUCCCAGAGUAUCUAGUCCUGUAUGCUCGGCGCAAUUUGGCACGUAGGUGUGAGUAUAGAGCCAGUGAUCCGCCUCCGCCAGAGGUGUUCCUCAGAAUAUAUACGAAUAUGACCUGUACAGUCGGAAUUCAAGUCACGUAUUUUGAAGUCUAGACUACCAGUAUCAAAGGCACCUCCGGGGCGAGGACAUGUCGAGAACCCCCAGAGAAUAGUCGGUGCUACGUGCGAACUCGAACACAGUAAAUCGCAACAACGUCUAGCAGCCCUUCGUAUUAAGAUGGGUGGUUAAGUCGAAGUUAGGAGGGCAAUCUUUUCCGGUAGUUGUCAGCAUGUUAUGGGGGGAAAGAUAAGGACACCCCUGGGGCCUUCCUCGAGCAAGGGGGGGGGGAGGAUCAGUCAUCAUGGCCUUGUCCAACAUUCCCCCACACGUCCUACAAUAGGAGUGACAGAGGGGUGUCAGCCGCAGAGGGUAAGCUCAUCCCAGAAACCCAAUUUCAGUUCGGAUCGGAGUUAGCCAUUUACCUCCACGAAGUGGGAAUCCAAAGUAGUCUCAGCUAUGCACGAUAAAUGUGAAUACGUUAGGAGGCAUUGGGCACUAGCCCAGUCACACCAUGGGAGUUUGGUGCACCAGAAGCAGUUAGCUUAACUUUCGGGAGGGCGCUUGCCACCCCGUGGGGGGCGCUCGGGGUGCAGUUGUAACAAGGUAGCCCAAUCGGAAGGUGCGGCCGGGUUCAAUCUUU
rnacentral:rRNA from 1 species